UACAGAGGGGGCAAGCGUUGUUCGGAAUUACUGGGCGUAAAGGGCGCGUAGGCGGCCUGCUAAGUCGAACGUGAAAUCCCUGGGCUCAACCCAGGAACUGCGUCCGAUACUGGUUGGCUUGAAUCCGGGAGAGGGACGUGGAAUUCCUGGUGUAGCGGUGAAAUGCGCAGAUAUCAGGAGGAACACCGGUGGCGAAGGCGGAUCUCUGGGCCAUUACUGACGCUGAGGAGCGAAAGCGUGGGGAGCGAACAGG
rnacentral:rRNA from 1 species